GAAAUGCGAUAAGUAGUGUGAAUUGCAGAAUUCAGUGAAUCAUCGAAUCUUUGAACGCACAUUGCGCCCUUUGGUAUUCCGAAGGGCAUACCUGUUCGAGCGUCAUUUAAUCCCUCAAGCCUGGCUUGGUUUUGGGCGCCUUUGUCCUAUUUUUGUGAAUGGGACUCGCCUUAAAAGUAUCGGCGCAAAGCAACUCAAUUAGCGGGCACAGUACAUUGUGGCUCUGCAAUUGGCGUGUCAAAGCUGCCGUUAAUUCUUUUAAAUUUUUUUUUUGAAUUGACCUCGGAUCAGGUAGGGAUACCCGCUGAACUUAA
rnacentral:misc_RNA from 1 species